rnacentral:rRNA from 1 species
AGGCAGCAGUGGGGGAAUAUUGGACAAUGGGGGCAACCCUGAUCCAGCCAUGCCGCGUGUGUGAAGAAGGCCUUUGGUUGUUAAAGCACUUUAAGCAGGGAGGAGAGGCUAAUGGGUUAAUACCCAUUAGAUUAGACGUUACCUGCAGAAUAAGCACCGGCUAACUCUGUGCCAGCAGCCGCGGUAAUACAGAGGGUGCGAGCGUUAAUCGGAAUUACUGGGCGUAAAAGCGAGUGUAGGUGGCUCAUUAAGUCACAUGUGAAAUCCCCGGGCUUAACCUGGGAACUGCAUGUGAUACUGGUGGUGCUAGAAUAUGUGAGAGGGAAGUAGAAUUCCAGGUGUAGCGGUGAAAUGCGUAGAGAUCUGGAGGAAUACCGAUGGCGAAGGCAGCUUCCUGGCAUAAUAUUGACACUGAGAUUCGAAAGCGUGGGUAGCAAACAGGAUUAGAUACCCUGGUAG